rnacentral:rRNA from 1 species
CCUACGGGAGGGCAGCAGUAGGGAAUAUUGGACAAUGGGGGGAACCCUGAUCCAGCCAUGCCGCGUGAGGGAAGAAGGUCCUCUGGAUUGUAAACCUCUUUUGGCGGGGGACAAACCUGCGCUAUACGCGCAGCUGAGGGUACCCGCAGAAUAAGCACCGGCUAACUCCGUGCCAGCAGCCGCGGUAAUACGGAGGGUGCAAGCGUUGUCCGGAUUCAUUGGGUUUAAAGGGUGCGUAGGCGGCCCUGUAAGUCAGCGGUGAAAUACCCACGCUCAACGUGGGAACUGCCGUUGAUACUGCGGGGCUUGAGUUCGUGCGAGGUCGCUGGAAUGCGUGGUGUAGCGGUGAAAUGCAUAGAUAUCACGCAGAACACCGAUUGCGAAGGCAGGUGACUGGCACGCGACUGACGCUGAGGCACGAAAGUGUGGGGAGCAAACAGGAUUAGAUACCCUGGUAGUCCACACCGUAAACGAUGGAUACUAGGUGUCCGGGGGAUUCGUUCCUGGGUGCCCAAGGGAACCGAUAAGUAUCCCACCGUCGGGAGUACGUUCGCGAGAGUAGAACGACGAAGGAAGUUAGACGGCGUGAGACGUGCCGACGGACGACGACGACGGGAGGUUAGG